AUAAAUUUGUUACGUCCCAUUCGCUCUCAUAAGGGACUCUCAUACCCCCAAAUAAUAGAGACCCAAAGGUGUAUCUAUAAAUUUGUUACGUCCCAUUCGCUCUCAUAAGGGACUCUCAUACCCCCAAAUAAUAGAGACCCAAAGGUGUAUCUAUAAAUUUGUUACGUCCCAUUCGCUCUCAUAAGGGACUCUCAUACCCCCAAAUAAUAGAGACCCAAAGGUGUAUCUAUAAAUUUGUUACGUCCCAAUCGCUAUCAUAAGGGACUCUCAUACCCCCAAAUAAUAGAGACCCAAAGGUGUAUCUAUAAAUUUGUUACGUCCCAAUCGCUAUCAUAAGGGACUCUCAUAUCUCCAAAUAAUAGAGACCCAAG